rnacentral:rRNA from 1 species
GGUUAUUCAUAACCCUUUGUUGUCCGACUCUGUUGCCUCCGGGGCGACCCUGCCUUCGGGCGGGGGCUCCGGGUGGACACUUCAAACUCUUGCGUAACUUUGCAGUCUGAGUAAACUUAAUUAAUAAAUUAAAACUUUUAACAACGGAUCUCUUGGUUCUGGCAUCGAUGAAGAACGCAGCGAAAUGCGAUAAGUAAUGUGAAUUGCAGAAUUCAGUGAAUCAUCGAAUCUUUGAACGCACAUUGCGCCCCCUGGUAUUCCGGGGGGCAUGCCUGUUCGAGCGUCAUUUCACCACUCAAGCCUCGCUUGGUAUUGGGCAACGCGGUCCGCCGCGUGCCUCAAAUCGUCCGGCUGGGUCUUCUGUCCCCUAAGCGUUGUGGAAACUAUUCGCUAAAGGGUGUUCGGGAGGCUACGCCGUAAAACAACCCCAUUUCUAAGGUUGACCUCGGAUCAGGUAGGGAUACCCGCUGAACUUAAGCAUAUCAAUA